rnacentral:rRNA from 1 species
GAUGAACGCUGGCGGCGUGCCUAAUACAUGCAAGUCGAGCGAACGGACGAGAAGCUUGCUUCUCUUAUGUUAGCGGCGGACGGGUGAGUAACACGUGGAUAACCUACCUAUAAGCCUGGGAUAACUUCGGGAAACCGGAGCUAAUACCGGAUAAUAUUUUGAACCGCAUGGUUCAAAAGUGAAAGACGGUCUUGCUGUCACUUAUAGAUGGAUCCGCGCUGCAUUAGCUAGUUGGUAAGUUAACGGCUUACCAAGGCAACGAUGCAUAGCCGACCUGAGAGGGUGAUCGGCCACACUGGAACUGAAACACGGUCAAGACUCCUACGGGAGGAAGAAGUAGGGAAUCUUCGGCAAUGGGCGAAAGCCUGACGGAGCAACGCCGCGUGAGUGAUGAAGGUCUUCGGAUCGUAAAACUCUGUUAUUAGGGAAGAACAUAUGUGUAAGUAAAUGUGCACAUCUUGACGGUACCUAAUCAGAAAGCCACGGCUAACUACGUG